AAACUACCCCCCCAACAGGACCCAAGCCCACCCCAUCAGGAGGCCAAACUACCCCCCAUCAGGACCCAAGCCCACCCCAUCAGGAGGCUAGCCCGUCACAGCCCAAGUCCUCAGACAAGGCCCUCCGCGACCUGGUAGGAGAGCAGCGAUUGGUCCAGGGCUCUGAGAGGUCCUGCCCCCAGCUCUUCUCCUCGCUUCCUGACGUGUCGUCGGUCGGCCUCUCCGGGAGACCCGUAACCCCGGGUCACAGCUCUGCCCACGGGUCCACAGAGUCCCUCUCCCUCAGUGAAAAGCACUCGGAAAAACACGGAAUUCCGGACGAGGAGGAGGAUAUUCUUGAUUUAGGAGCGCUGGUCUCUGAACCGGACACACAGUUGCAACCGGAGGAGGACGAGGGGAAAAGGGGGGAGGAAGAGGAAGAGGGAGAGGGAGAGACAAGGAUUCCCCACUGUCUGGUGGGUUCUGUGUUUAGUGCAGAUCGCGACGAUGGUGACGACGAGAGGCCCGUGGCUUUCUCCGAGUCGAUUGGUCAGAGGGUGAGGAAAGAGAGGAAGAGCAGAACUAGGAAGACGGACUCUGAUAGGCUGGAGCCUGCUGACAUAGCGAAGGACGCUAGCCAUUCAGUGAGCGAGGGGGAUGGAGAGAGAGAGGGUGGAGGAGGGACGUUGGUGGGAGAAAUGAAUGAUGGAGGAGAGCAGGUGUGGGAUGGGGGAGAGGGGGUGAGGGGUGGGGGAGAGAGGGUGAGGCCUGAGUUGUUGGAGUUUGUUGGAGACUGGCCUUCAGAGGAGGUACUGGAGCAAAGAAGAAGAGGAGGAGGAAGGAAUGGGAAGCGCCCUGGGAGGGAGGAAGAGGGAGUUGAUGAGGGGGAGGAGGCAGGUCCCAGAGGCAGCCAAUCAGAAGGGCUUCCUGGUAGCGGGCCUCAUGUCACAGAGUUCCAGAAGCUUCUAGAGCUCUUACAGACAGGUGUUGACUCCCACCCUCUGCCCACCUGCCCUUCCCCCAUCCUCUCCCCCUUCUCCCCGAGCUCACACCAUUCAGUUGGAGGAGAAGGAGGAGAGAGGGGUGAGGCAGGGGGGAGGAGAGGGGAGGCUGAUAAAGACCGAGUCCUGAGUCGGGAGGAAUUACCUGACUGUGUGGUGGUUGAAUCCAACACCGUGGAGCAGAGGGAGGGAGAGACCAUCCAGGUCGCCGUAGAGGGGGGGACGACUCGGGGUUUAGUUGAGGAAGACUUGGUGGAGGUAGAGGGAAGCCAUCCUGGUAAGGUAGAUCGAGGCCAUGUUGGUGAGGUCAGUCAGUGUACUGAUGCUAGUGAGACCAGGAUGGAAGGUGAAUUCGGCCAUCUUGGUGGGGGCAGUCAGGAGCGGAAGCAGCAGCAGCAGAGUCGCAGGGCGGGGAAACAGUGCAAACUGGCACUCACCUUCACAAACAACACCCCUCCCUCCCCCAAACCACAGAUAGACCUCGCCCCUGACCUUGACCCUGACCUUGACCCUAAUCUCGACUCUGACCUUGCCCCUAAUCUCGACUCUGACCUCGCCCCUAAUCUCGACUCUGACCUUGCCCCUAAUCUCGACUCUGACCUUAACCUUAACCCCGACCUUAACCCUG
rnacentral:lncRNA from 1 species